rnacentral:lncRNA from 1 species
GUCUGUCUUCUUCCAUUUUACGUCUGUGGCGUUCUUCUCGGGCCAGCAUUCUUUGUUUGCAUUCCCAUUCAUAAAAGUCAUCUCUUGCCUGAGCAAAAUCAACAUGAAGGCGGCCUGAAUCCUUUUUGUCUGUGCUAGAUCCUAAUCUCAUGCGGUAACCAGAAAGGUAAAUGGCUUUAUCAACCAUGAACUCCUCUGCAAAACGAAUGUGACAAAAAUUCUUCUUGCUUUUCCGAAUUGCUGUUAUAUCUCCACACUGCUCAAAGACUUCCUGAAUAAUUUCCUCUGUUGCAUUUUCUGGUAAUCCUCCAACAAACACUGUU